UACAGGACCGCCGCUAUAGCUGGGGAAAUGCCAAAUGGGCUACAGGACCGUGCCGGCCUAGCUGUACGUUCGCUCGCUCGUAGUGGCAUGGCGGACGGGCGGCAGAGAGAAGCAGGCAGGAAAGGCGGGAAGGAGAAAGGGAUUUCAAGCGGUCGUCUCUUCUCGUCUGCCUCUGCGCUCUACCUACCUAUGUAUACGUACCCGUCCCGGGUGCUCUCUCCGGGUACUCUUCUCUCCACUACCUGGAACGCACCGUCCUGGCCGUACCUAACCUCCACUGUUUUCUGCGGCUAGCGCCCUUGCCGAUGUUCCUCGCAUCGCCAUCGGAGCACGUAGCCGCUUACGCAGACUUCGAUGUCAUUCAUCUUGAGCGAGGAGGAAGAGUAGCGUUUCGUCGAUGCGAUGGAAGAGAAAUCCAACUUUAUCGUGUGUUUUUUGAAUUUGCCGCUGAUUGCUGUGGGUGGAUAUAUACAGGCGCAAGAACAGCAUGCUUUCGACAAUCGUCGACGAGAUACGUCGCGUCGGUCCACGCAAUGACGUCAGAGGCUGGUCCAAUCCUGUCGGAUACGUCCGUGGCCCGAUCUCACCCUAUUGAAGGCGGGAGAAGGAGAAACGCAAUGAGAGGAGAGAGACGGAGGAGAGUCGCAGAGGGACGCAAGAACCAGCAAAUGAGAACACAGCCUGACAAAUAGAAGGAGAAGACAGUUCGAGUUCCGCUCUCCUGCUCUUACGAGACAUCGUGGCACGUCGAUCCGAGCCUCGCGAUAUUGUUGCCAGAACUGUUCGCUACAAUGUCCAGAAUUUUUCCUGAUCUCCCAAUCACUGGUACCUCCAACUUACAUUAUCCUCAAUGACACGUGCGUGUAUAUGCGUAUAUACGCAUGUAUACGCACGCAUGUUUCUCUUUGCAACAUAAUCUAUUGUUUCUUUCGCGCGAAAGUACAAGAAUCAUCGAUGGUAAAAUAAUUUGAGUAGUAGUUGUUUGAAUUAAAAAUUCGUCGAAAGUAUCUACUACUAACAGAAUCAGUAGUAUCGAGUAAUUUAACUAAAAUUUCAUCGAUUUAUCUCUUUCUUUUAAAUCUGCCACGUUGGCAUUUUAAGUUUAUAAAUUACGAGAGAAUCUCGGUGCUUUGUGCAGGAUAGAAUUUGAAAUUUCAAAUAAAAAUCCCGCCUUUCGCGAAGUUCAUUGCAUAUUUAUGUAUCGACUGGAGACAGUAAUAAAUGGACUUACAAAUUGGUUCUCUCCGCGAAAUUGUUCAUUGCCACUGCAAAUUGAAACGGUUAAUCAUUAAAAAUUAAAUAUCUGCACAUGAAUUUUCAAAUACUGUAGAUGCAUAUUUAAUAUACGAAUUUAUCAAAUUAUUAACGAGUUCCUAAUAGUAUCGAAAGAUUGACAGAAUCUUACAUCACGUUCACUGUUCAAAAUUUAUAAUUCAUCGAUCCCCUCGUUAAUGAGUAUAAAUAUGUGAUUUAUCGAGCCGAAUUUACGAAAUGGGAAAGCUGAAUCUACUUUUAUCUCAUUCAGGAUGAUUGGUAUUAUCAAUACUUCCAUUAAACGGGACUAAAUGUCAUUUCAUUUCUCGCUUAUCAAUAAAGAACCAGCAUAUCAUUCAAAUUAUGGUCAAUUCAAUGCCCGAUCAAAUUUACGAAAACGAUUCAGUAACAAUAAAUGCAAGAUCUUUUACUUCUAUUCAUUUGCAAUUAGAUAUUCAAAUGAGACCCGCGUAACCAAGUUUAAUGAAAGGAAGUUUCAUAACGUCUCUCGUAGUGAUAUUGAAUUACUUAAAACGAUCGAUCUCACAGUGUUAUUCGUAA